UACGGAGGAUGCAAGCGUUAUCCGGAUUUAUUGGGUUUAAAGGGUGCGCAGGCGGAUUUUUAAGUCAGUGGUGAAAUCCUACAGCUUAACUGUAGAACUGCCAUUGAAACUGGAAGUCUAGAAUUUAGUUGAAGUGACUGGAAUGUGUCAUGUAGCGGUGAAAUGCAUAGAGAUGACACAGAACACCGAUAGCGAAGGCAGGUCACUAAGCUAAUAUUGACGCUCAUGCACGAAAGCGUGGGGAUCAAACAGGAUUAGAUACCCUGGUAGUCCACGCCGUAAACGAUGAUAACUAGCUGUUGGCGAUACACAGUCAGUGGCUAAGCGAAAGCAAUAAGUUAUCCACCUGGGGAGUACGAUCGCAAGAUUGAA
rnacentral:rRNA from 1 species